rnacentral:rRNA from 1 species
GACACGCUGGCGGCGUGGAUUAGGCAUGCAAGUCGAACGGUAUCAUCCUUUCGGGGGUGAGAGAGUGGCGAACUGGUGAGUAACACGUAGGUUAUCUACCCUCAAGACGGGGACAACCCAGGGAAACUUGGGCUAAUACCGGAUGUGAGCAACUUUUAGUGUUUGAAAGGUGGCGUAAGCUGUCGCUUGGGGAUGAGCCUGCGUCCUAUUAGUUAGUUGGUGAGGUAACGGCUCACCUAGGCAAUGAUAGGUAGGCGGCCUUAACGGGUGGUCGCCCACACUGGGAUUGAGAUACGGCCCAGACUCCUACGGGAGGCAGCAGUCGAGAAUAGUCUACAAUGGUCGGAAGACUGAUAGUGCGACGCCGCGUGAACGAUGAAUCCCUUCGGGGUGUAAAGUUCUUUUAUAUGUGAGCAGUGCUUCUUAUAUUAACAGUAUGGGGAGAGAGAUAUUAGCAUAUGAAUAAGCAACGGCUAACUCCGUG